rnacentral:lncRNA from 1 species
AAUUACCCAUGGAAUAUUUCAACGGAUAUGCUCUAGUUUUCUUGUUUUUGAUGUUUUGUUCUUUUUUGGGUACUUCUUUCUUUUUGUUGAUGUUUAAAAUCAAAUUAACUUCUUUUAUUGACUAUUAAGUAAAUAUUUGAUUUAGUGGUUUAAAUAUAAGCAUAAUUUUUUUAAAAUCCUAAAUUUCUUGAUUUCUGUGCCUAAAGCUGAUCAUGUCUAAAUACUGUACCACUCUGUUACUCCUCAAAAGAAGGCACAUGAGGUGGAUGUCUUUUUCCAGAGGCUUAAUCUGGAAGAGCUAACUUCUCUGCACAGAAACUUCAAAUGGUCAUGAAAACUCCCUCCAAUAAAGUAGAAAAAAGACUUGCAAAAUAUGUUGAGAAUUUCCACUGUGUGGAUAAAUGUGGGAGUGUCUGUCUCUGAAGCUCCUCCAAGGCCUCAGCAGAAAUAUGAAGAGGCAUUUCAGAGUUAAGAUGAAACCUAUUCUGAAAUUCAGUUUUAUGGAAGACACAAACCAAGGAAUACAGGCAAGAUUUGGACAUUUGAGUCAAGCAGAUUUGACACUGAUGGCUAGCCUUGGAAAAACUCUUCACUGAGGCUGGAGACCUGUCAUGAACUGCAGCCACAAAACAGCCCUUGCCAGCUGCCUGCUCCUUAUACCACAGCUUCUGGUCCCCAAAGCCCCCAGCUGAGCAGAUUGAGGUAAAUGCAAAGAUUGACGAUAAUAAAUUCAAGCUUUCCAAGUGAGUGAGUGAGUGA